rnacentral:rRNA from 1 species
UACGGGGGGGGUAAGCGUUGUUCGGAAUUACUGGGCGUAAAGGGCUCGUAGGCGGCCAACUAAGUCAGACGUGAAAUCCCUCAGCUUAACUGGGGAACUGCGUCUGAUACUGGAUGGCUUGGAUUCGGGAGAGGAAUGCGGAAUUCCAGGUGUAGCGGUGAAAUGCGUAGAUAUCUGGAGGAACACCGGUGGCGAAGGCGGCAUCCUGGACCGGUAUUGACGCUGAGGCGCGAAAGCUAGGGGAGCAAACGGG